UAUGUACUUUCUUCGUCCGAAAAUACUUGUCAUCAAAAUGAACAAAAAAAAUGUACAUACAACUAAAAUACAUAUAGAUACAUCUUCUUUUAUCCAUUUUAAUGAAAAAUAUUUCCGGACGGAGGGAGUAGUUU
rfam:Triticum aestivum genome assembly, contig: Triticum_aestivum_CS42_TGACv1_scaffold_570638_7AS